CAGUCCAUCAUCACCCUCAGUCCAUUCAAGUAGGACAUAGCGGGACGCUGAUGUCUCCAUUUUUAAUACUUUUUACUUAGUCCCAGCCGUUAUCUUUCGGCGCGAAAGAUAAGAUGGCACCUGCAUGUGAAGGACGUCAUCCACAAGCGGCCCAGCGCGGGUGAUGAUGUAAUUCGCAUGCGACGCUGUAGCGGCCGAUCGGACCAGAGUGGACACAUGCUUGCCAGUAUGCUUUACGGUCUGUGGUAAAUAAGCAACAAAUAAAGAAAAAGAAUCCAGAUCCAGUACGUUACAAAAAGGUACCUCGUCAACGACGAAGCACCCGUUCCAGAAAGAACUAAGCAAAGACAUAAACAAAAGGACAUUUCUGAAGAUAUGGGUGAGGUUCUUCUACAAUUCAGUAAGUAGAACACAUGCACACGUCCAUUAGGCCUACAUAUUUCUUGAUCAAGGAUUUUAAUUUUAGGUAUCUCACCCAAGAGGACAACCCGGUGUCUACUGCUUCUGACGACACAGUAAGUUGCUAAAAAUGGCUAAAAUAUUCAAGUUAGGCGUUUUUUGUUUUGUUUGUGCAUGCACACUAGUUUACUGUAAAUAAUCAUAAGAUAAUUCCAUAACCCAAACUUCUACCGGAUGUUGCUUAAAGUAGAGCACAAAUUGGAAAUAACAUAUUACUUUAUCCGUUCCAUAUUGCAGCAAUACCCAUAUUUUUAUCAUGUUAGAAAACAACAAAAAAGAAGUUUUGAUUCGUGUGCAAAUGCAGCAUCUCUCUCAGCUGGCCACAUACAAAAUCACAGAACGUGUCUCAUUGUGUCUUGCCAGAUGAAGACAAAAGGGGGCACAGAAUAAAAAAAAAAGAAUAAUUUAUGAUCUAAUGACCAAAAAAAAUCAAUGGAAAGGACUGUUAAAAAUAUAAUCAAAUACAUUUGAGCCGGACUUCAAAUGCACACUGCAAAAAUGAACCAUCUAAAUGCAAGUAAAAAUUACUUAAUUUGAGAAGGUAAAGACUUAAAACAAGUUAAUUUAUCUGCCAGUGCAGUAAGAUUAUUACACUUAGUAAUACACAGUAAGAUUUCUUGAGAUAAGAAAAAUGUUCUAGGCAUCAGAAAGGUGAUACAUGUCUUGUAAUGAGUGGUAAAACACUAAUUUCAAGCACUGUAUUAAGUCAAAUAAACUCAAAAUAAGAUGUCCAUUCUUCUUUCAGUUUUUUUCCUUUCUUAAUUUUAGUGAAAGGUUCUUAAAAGCAGAACCACUAUACAAGACAAUUUCACUUAAUUCAAGACUGUUCAUUAUUAGCUUGUGCGGCUUAAAAUGAGACAAAGCAUGAAUACGAUCAUUGUCAACAACAAUUUAUUUAGAUUUUGUGCCCUUUAACACACUUGUUGCUUUUCAAAAUAUUACAUAUUCUCAAUUACGGAAGCAUUGCAACAGAAAACAUGUGAUACAACUUUGAGGUCAUUAUGGUUAUGUGUCAUCGUCACUGAAUCUGAUUACCUGACAUUCAGAUACAGAAAAAAGUAUUAAGUUUCAAAUUUUCUGUUCAUUCCACCUCCUGUAAUGUUUAUAAACCUAGUUAACCGUCAUUGGCCUCUAUUAACUUUUUAGAUCCAACAUUUGCAGCACAAAAUAUGCUUUGAUGAUUAAAGGAACAAAGAACAAGGCAAUCAGAGAAUACUUGAACAAAAAGGAAGAAAGAAUUUUCUCUUGACAAACUCCAAUGCACACUACUAUCGAUUUAGAGUACCGCGACAGUGAAACUGGUGGUGCCAGUUAUUCUAGUAUAGUAGUUUAACACAGUGAACACCUCUACAUCCCAAUAAAAUCCUUCCAUUCUGUCAUGGCUUUUUUGUAUGAGGUCGUCAUGUCUAAUAUUUCUGUCUGAAUGACUGAGAGGAGGGUUGCCACACACUUUGGAUAGGUGAGAUGCAGAGUGUAGUAGUAAGCCAUCAGAUAAAGCAAACCUUCACAAAGGUCUUCCUUGGCAAAUGUGGUGAUGGGAGUGGUUCCAAAUGUGACAAGACAGCGGGACCCAUCAAAGAGCAAAACAAGUGCAGAGUGUGGUCUCUUCUGAAGGUAGAUGGUGGGAUCUUCUGUUGGCUAAUAAAAAGAAGAAAGAAACAAAUCUGAGAAAUGUCUUUAAGGGUACAAAAAAAAAAACACAAGACACCACUGUGGUGGUAUAUGAAAACAAACUGUCCUGUGUUUUAAACACAGGACCAAAAGAAAUUAAAUGAUAAUUAAAUCAAAUAAUGGCACGGGAAAGACUAGCACUCCUAGUGGUGGCUCAAAAAGCCCUUUUUGUGGACACGCCCCUUGAUUGUUCAACAAUUUUUGGGAACAAACUCACCUGAAGGACAUGAAGCAAUGCCUCACUGGCUUUCCCAACUUCUUCGGUGGGGCAGUUGGUGAAGGAAAGAGGGCAGGAAGUGCCUUGAAUAGAGCUAUGGCAUAUUCCACUAGAACAAAAACAAAUGUUCUCAGAAUUCAGAGAAUUAUCUUUUAUCCUUAUCGCAACCAUGAAAAAAGCCACACAGUAUAUUAGAGACGCAGCAGAAUGCCCUACCUGCAUCCAGGUUCAUGGGCGGCUUCAUCACUUUCUUUGAAACACCGUAAAAUUGCACCUUGGCACAGAAGUCUUCCCAUCUCUUCUUUACUUCAUCUAUGUAUGUGAUGUUGUCCUUAUCCAGGAUUCGUUGCAGCUCACUCAUCACCUGUAAUGCAAUAAGUGUUAACUCCUGCAAUAAUGAUUGUUUUUUUUGAUGAGCUGAAAUAACAAAUAAAUUACGCUUACGUGAUGAAGAUCCUUAAAACAAGGGUAGGCGUCGAGGAUCUUUGUUGGCCUGUCCUCUUCUUUCAUGGCAUCACUGUCGAUGAAGGCUCUUCUUGCUUCAAACUCGAGGUCAAGGAUUUGGUGGACCGCAUCUUUGUUUGGUUUUGUUUUCUUGAACAUCUCCGGCAGAGUUUUAUAAGGUCUGGCCUGUAUGAUCAGACUGUCUUUUUCAGCUAAAAUGGAGAACAAAAAUCAGUAAUGGGUAUCAAACAUGUCAAUCUGAAUGAUAAUAUAGGUUCAGUGUAACAAUUAACAAAAUUAGCGAUGCUGAAUGACCUAUAUACUAAUGCAAUUUUGAAGGAAAAUAGUUAAGUAAUUAUUUAUUACAAUACAUUUCUCCAAUAAAGAAAAGGAACAAUGUGUGUGCUGUUAAUUAUAGUUCUUAGAAAUGAAAUCAACAUCAGCAGGUCAGACUUGCAUCAUAAGAAAUUGGAAAAUAUAGUGAUAAAACCACCUUACUGUAAAUCUCCACCAGACAAAAAGCAAUAUUGUGCAUGUUAUACAUCAACAUAUGCCCUUCCUGCUUUUUAGAGCCAAAUGGAUGCAAUCAAAUAAAAAAUCAUCAGUAACAGCUAAAUAUAUCAAAACAGAAUCAGAAUUAAACUAAAAUGAUCAGUGUCUGUAUUCUGAUAGACAAUUCUUAGUCUUCAUGCUACACAAUUCCAACUUACGUGACCUGUUGCCAUCAUCAGAACUGCUCCCAGAUGUUUGAUGCAAAAUAAUUGUUGAUGCACCACUUGGGUCUGCAUCAUUUUCUUCUCUGUCACUCGAUGAGAAGUCAAUGAGACUCCUUUUCUUUGAAUGGCCCCUCUCUGGAGUGGGCCCCUGCCUCUUUUGUGGGGACUUCACAUUCUGCAGCCUCUUGUGAAGAUUGUUGUAAAUGCUCAUCUGUGGUAAAAACAAAAGGUUUGGUUAUAAUUAGAUGCCUUCUUUUUAUGUUACAGAUAAACCACGGCAGACAAAAUAAAUAAACAAACAUAUUUACCACAAAUUUAAAUCACUUACAUGCUUCAUAGUUUUGUCUUUAUCUUUUUAUCUUUAUCUGUUUAAAUGGAAAUAUGACAAAAUGACAAUCAAACAUAUGUCAUUCAAAUCCGCCUUUUCAUCCCGGAAUUGCGUAAGUGUAUAUGUAAAUUACACGGUGUCAUAGAAUGACCCCCCCCCAACUUGUCUUUUGGUAUCGACCAACCAAAUGCGCAAGGCUGCUCGUGCCCGUCAAAGCCGACAUGAAUCAACAAUUUCCUCGUUUGCUGUCUGCAAUUGUGGAUUAAACAUCACGCUCUUUGUGCUACGUGUAGUUUGCAAGUAUAGUUAUUUUUUGCCCUUGCUGUCUUAGCAAUUCUUGAUUUUGUCGUUAAUGUUUCAGUUUCAUAAAAAACUACACUAACUGUCAGCUUUCAUUAGCUAGCUAGCUAGCUAGCAACUUUUAACAUAAUGGCUUGCUGGAGGUGUGUUAUUUGCUUCGUUUUUGUUGCCUUAACAUUAAAGUCUCUCUUGAGCCAUAUCAACACAGCACAUAGUCGAAACCCCGAUUUCCGUGUUAUAUGCGGAAUUGAUGGAUGUACCGAAGAAUACAGAGUAUACAACUCCUUCUACUACCAUAUCAGAUGCACACAUGCUCUGUAUCUUGCAACUGGGCACCCACCCACCAGAGGGAUGACAGCAGCUACAUCUGAGCCAUCUAGGGUUGGAAGAGAACAUUUUGAUCUACCAAUUUUUUCUGACUGUGCCACUGUAGGAUAUUAGAAACAAAUAUACGACCCGGUUCAUAAAAUUAAUAAAAAUGCAUAUAGUGUACACCAGAAUACAGCCAUGAUUCUGAAACUGUAAUCCAUAAAGUAAUGACAAUAUUGUAAAACUACUGUAAAUCUGCAGCUGUACUAGAAUAAUACCAAUGUAGUUAUGAUUGUAUUUGAUGUAAUGUAAUCAACUGGAAUGCAUGCAUGUAAUACUUGCACAACAACUGAUAUUGACCAAGGAUCAUUCGAAAUCCGAGUUACAUUGAACUCACCAGAAGACCACUCCCAGAGGUGUGGACACUGACUUUCACACCUUUAAGCAUUGCUAUAAAUACCUGUAGGAACCAUUGUUCUGGAGUUCGCUGGUGGAGGCUACAGACGGGCACUAGGGAUGGUCAAAGGACUGACCUGGGGCCUGUUGGUUGCUGAGACCAGCGGCUCCUCAGCUGAGAUGUUCUUUUUACCGCAACGCCAUCUCCUUUAUUAAAUACAUUUGAUUUUAACCUUUUGAUCAGCGAUGACCUCUGUCCGUCUGGCGUUUCUUCAUUUUUGAACACAACACCACUCAAACAAGAGGGAUGCAAAGGACCAGCAGUGAAGUCCGCACAAGUGUCACCCCAAAUGAAAUGCCUCAGCCUCAGCUUGAUGAUUCCCAGAUUCAACAUACUGAUCAUCAGGUAAGAUUCCACUUUUGACUAUCUUGCAUAAUAUUAUAAUAAAACCAUAUUCAUUACAUUUUGUUAAUAUUUUAGUCCCCUGUUGGCCCCCUUUUGAAAAGCAUCAGACUGUUAACACAAACAAGAAGUGACGGGUUUGUGUUAAGAAAAAUGAAAUACUGAUGUAUAGAAGGACAAACAGAAAUAUUUAAGACUUCCGCAAGUUUGAACUAUUUUAUAUAUCAACAUGUCUUUACAGGAAUGUGCUGGUACAUCACAUGAGGCUCUUACCAGACGUGCAGCAGCGUUUGUCAUUAAUGUCCGGGAACAAUGCCACCUGUCCCAGGUAUUACCCUACCGUGCCUCAGUGCUAAAUUGUAUGUUGACAGUCUUUGUGACACUCACACCAGAUUAAUUACAACUUUAAUAAUAUUACAUUUGAAAAGUAAAUUUAAAUGCAAAAAAAAAAAAAUCUAAAAUGAAGUAAAUCUACUCACAAACUGCACCCUUUCUACAUUUCCUGUCAAUUCUACAUCAAUGGGUCAGUUUAUAAUCAAUUCCAUUGUCAUAGCAAUAAUGGGCAAUUUUUGAGAAAGGAAUACACAAAGAGGAAUACUUCUUUCCAUUUCUUCUUCUGCUAGUGGACAGCAAAGGGUCAAUCAAAAGAAGUCGGGGGCGAUUAUUAAUAAUUGAUUAUUUAGUGCCAUGCACUGUUCAUAUUCAAUAGAGUUGAACGACGCUGAAACAAAUUGUUUUUUUUCUUAAGGUUUACAUUUAACUUCUUUUUGUUUAGUGUCGUCUUCACUAAAGUCAAAAUGCGUACAAACAGACACAGAAUUUUUCUUUGAAUAAUCGAUAUGGGCAAGAUUACGUCAGUUAGAGGAUCUGAAUUUCAGUUUCAAUAUAUUUUUGAUUAAUUGCCCAGUCCUUUUUUUAUUCCAAAAAUGUACGUAGUCAAACUUGAGAUCUGGGGCUAGAUUUGUAUGUAAUCUUGUGGAUUUGCGAGUAGGGUUAUGCUAGUUCUGGAUGAUGGACAAACGUGUGUCUCGUACUAUAAUUUCUUUUUCUUUCAGAGGAGCGUCAACAGUAUUAUCUUUGGAGUCCAGCAGUAUCAAGCUGCUCUUCUGAGUACCUUAAGGGACACAAAGAACAGUAUUGAGAAGAACGAAUAUGUUCAGUUUGUUUUAGACUUGAUUGAGAUAGUUCAGAUAAUAUUUGCACCUGUUUUAUCGGUGCAAAGUGUAUUGAGACUGAAACAAAUGAUUCAACAGCAUCUCAAACAGUUUAAACAACUGUUUCCUGGAGAAUAAUGUAAUUCCUAAGCAACAUUACAUGGUGCAUAUACCUGCUCAAAUCCUUUCUCUGGGCCCUUCAAUAAGGCAUAUGUACAUGAGAUUUGAGUCGAAGCCCUCUUUUUUCAAACAGUGAUAAUCUAAAUUGAACUUUAAAAAUGUCUGUCAGUCACUCGUCAACCAUAAUCAGCUUUUUGAAUGUUGUCAAAAUGAAAUGGGCACUGAGCACCCAGUUUUUGUUCAUGAGAGGGAAUUGGGUCCUGUCUCUGAAGUGACAAAUAUGGAUUACAUCACAGAAAAGACAAGAGAUUUAUUGGGGAUUGAUGGCAUAUAACAUGCGGUCAAUGUAAAGUGGCUGAUUCUCAAUGGUAACAAGUACAUCCGUGAACAGUCUUUGAUAAUUACUAAUGCAAAUGAGACAGUACCUGUUUUUGGACUCAUAAAAAACAUUCAUGUGAUAGACAGUUUAUUUUAUUGCUUUGAAUAUCACCUUUACGAGACUCUGGGUUGGAAUAGAGAUCUUUUGGCAUUUUAAGUUGCUGUACCUAAUCUUGCACAGGCCACAGAGUUCCAGGAUGCUGAAAAGCUACUUGAUUAUACAUCAUAUUAUGCAAUGACUUUUAAAAACUAUUUUUUUUAUUUUUUUUUAUAUAAAAUACAAUAUAACAAUAUUGCACUUAAAACUGGAAAUGAAUAACCAUACUGUAAGUUUUGGAAGGUGUGUGGUGACUUGAUACUGUUGAAAUGAUUUGUUACGGCCUGUAAAUAAAUGUGUUGUUGACACACCAAUAUUUGCAAUAAAUACAAUAAUGAAUUGUUAUUUUAGCAGUUCUUACUGGGCAGUCUUGAAACCAGUCUCUAACAGCUAUGCAUCCUCAUAAAAUGCUCCAAUGCGGUCUCUAACAGUAAUUCAGCUUGAUGUACAUAAAAAAUAACAAACUUUAAGAUAUACUAACUAAGUAAGAAUAGAAAGGAAAAAUAUUCGUAAAAUAAUCUAAAUUAUUUUACACAAUCUGCUCUUACCUGGUAUAUUAUUCUCAAAAUGAGAUCAAUACGACUUUUUGGCUGGAUAUAAGAUUAUAUGUCUUGGUUAGAGCAGGAGUUUUUGCAGUGGGUGGUUACCAACCACAUGAAAUGGUACAUUUGUACAGUCAAAUUUGAGAUUGCUUAUCCAAUAUUUUCAAUUCACAGAUGAACCAACCCAUACCUGGCCCUAGCUCUUCACCUGGGGAGCCAGUAGAGGAACAUCUAGAAGACCUCACAAGUCCAACUUUAGACCAGAAACCAACAAAGGAACAGGUGGAACUCCUGCUGCUGGCAUUAAAACUCAAACACGGAUUAACAAAUGGAGCCUCGAAGGACAUCAUGCAUCUUAUCAACUUUAAAGCUGGUCCUGGUGGGGAAUUGGUUAGUGGCUCAAAGUACCUUUUCUACAAAGAUUUGAUUCAGUGAAAGACAUAUUAGAAGUGCAUUAUGUGUGCAAGAGUUGCAACGUAAACAUGCAGGAAGGUCCCUUUAAUGUCAAGUGCCCAGUGUGUGACCAGGACACAUCAAAAGCGCAUGCACAAAAAGACCAGUGUUUUUUGUACUUGCCACUAAAAUACCAUAUUAAAAAACUGCUUGAUGACCACCAAUUAGGGGAACACCUGAAACACCGUUUUGAGAAGGAUGCCUACAUCAAAGAUAUACACGAUGGACAUUUAUACAAAAAACUAUCACGCCUUGCAUCACCAGACAACAUAUCACUGACUUUCAACUGUGAUGGAGUGCCAGUGCACAAAUCAAACACAAAAAGUCUGUGGCCAAUUUUGUGUACUGUUAAUGAACUGCCAAUACAACUACAUGCAAGACAUAUUAUGCUUUGUGGUUUGGUCAAAACAAACCAAAUAUGAACACUUGAAACCAUUUGUCGAUGAAUGGAGUUGUCCUCUAAUGGUCUUACGUGGCAAAGUGAAAUUGGGGAAGUUGUCACAAGUAAAGUACUCCUCACUACCAUGGUGGCAGAUUCAGUGGCCCGGCCAAUGAUUCAGAACUUUAAUGGAGAGUUUGGGUGUUCUUUUUGUAUGCAGAAAGGAACAAGUGUGUUAAAACGCAGGGGGCAUGUAAGGGCUUAUCCCUAUGAAAAAGCAGAGUUGAGGAAUCCCGCCCAGACUGAUGAUCUGGUAGAAGAGGCUCUUGCUGGAAACCCCACUAAGGGAGUGAAAGGGCCUAGUAUUUUGUCUUGCCUAGCUGAUUUUAAUAUCAUUGAUGGCUGUGUUCCAGAUUAUAUGCACAGUGUGCUGCUGGGUGUAGCAAGAAGCAUUACAACGUUGUGGUUUAAUUCUGAAAACAACCAUGGUAUAUCGGACGCUCAACAGAACAGAUUGAUGACAUUAGAACUUCUAUUAAACCCGCCUGUAAUGUUUCCCGUGUCCCCCGCUCAGUGAAAGUCACACGAGUGGAACAUGUGGUUGUUUUAUUACAGCAUACCAAUAUUGAAAGGGAUCUUACCUGAAAACUAUCUGAAGCACUGGUUUAAGUUGGUAAAGGGCUCUUCUACUUGGUGAGAAUAUAUCACCAAUGCACAUAUCAGAAUCUGAGUUGUUGCUAACAGUUUGUUCAGGAAAUGGAUACCCUUUAUGGGAUCAAUAAUGUUACUUUCAAUGUACAUUUGUGCCUUCAUCUGCCCAAUACUGUAAGGAACAGGGGUCCCCCCUGGGCACAGUCCGCUUUUGUGUUUGAGUCAUACAAGAUGUUAUGAUAAAGAGCAGCCAGGGAGUUUCUCUGGAGAUCAUAAAACUGUUUGGCUACAGGUUGCAUUUACAUCAUUUUCCAAAAAAACCUUGCAGGCAGCUUCUGAUGAUUACAAAUCUCUUAGUCUUUCAGUUGAGAAAAAAUGAUGGUGUUACAUCUUGUGAGAUGCAUGUACUGGUAAAAUAUAUUAUAACAUUGUUUUGCGCUAAAGCCGUGUCUCAAGUGUCCUGUAUUUGACCCUGAUGUGCAAAGAGCAGCAUGAUACAAAAUGUUUCUUUGCAGCUGUGUCCUGAGAAGGGAGGGCGGUCAACUCAAGCUCAUAGACGCUUCAAAACAAAGGACUUCUGUUCAUGGCCUUGGCCACUUAUCUAUAGCAAAUUGGCUUAUUUGAGGAAAUUGCACUUUGUUCUUCUGAGUCUGUAUCCUUAUGGUUGAAUGCACGAUAAGUGCUCGUAAGUCGCUUUGGAUAAAAGCGUCAGCUAAAUGACAUGUAAUGUAAUGUAAAUGUAAUUAAUAAGCGGGAUAGUAUUGGGAUAAAUGGGGCUGGUCAAUCUGGUAUAUGCGAGGUCAUUAAGUUGCCUGUAGCCUUCCCAUAAGUACUGAUCCCUGUCCAAAAUCACAAUAGCACUGCCCUUAUCGGCCGGUUUGAUAAUAAUGGUUUUCAUUAUUAAUCAAUUCAUCCACUACUGGUGAGCGGCACCUGGUGUGCUUUGAAAUGGUGGUCAAAAUGUUGAAUGUCAAACUGGAAAAGGGCAGUGAUCGCGUCGGGUAUCUGAUCUUGCAGGAGUCCAGACUUGACUUGUUCAUAAACGGCAGACGUUCAGAAUAGGCCACCAGUUUUAAUUUUCUGUGAUACUCCUGAUACUUCUGUAAAUCAAAGCGGCUCUGCUCUAGUAUUUUUUUAUUUAUUCCCUUAGUGGGAAUAAAAUUAAGGUUUUCAGAGCUUUAGUUUCUGCCUGUAUGCAGGAAUCAGAUGGACCUUGACGAGGUCAGAGUGUCCCAGUGCAGCACGAGGGACGGCGUGAUAAGCCCUGCUUACUGUGGUGUAACAGUGAUCCAGCGUGUUCUCCUCUCUGGUCUUAUUUAAUAAACUGUCUGUACUUAGGAAGUUCAUGGCUGAGAUUUCCUUUGUUAAAGUCCCGGAGGACAAUAACUAAGGAGUCCGGGUUGGUCCGCUCCACACGCCGUAUCUGGUCGGCGAAUGUCCGCUGUGCCUUGUGGACGUUGCCCGCCGGCGGCAUGUAAACACCGACCAGGAUGAAUGAAGCUCACGGAGGGAAUAAAAGGGUUUGCAGUUGAUGAAGAAAGUUUCCAGAUCAGGAGAACAGUGUUUUAGGAUUACCGUUAAAUUCGACCCGAAAAGGCGUCACGGCUGAGGACAAAAAGUCCGGCCAAUGUCAAUGCUGACAGCCGCCUGUACACGUCUGCUGGAUGUCACAAAAGCCAGGUCUGUGUCAGACACCGGUGUACGGCCGGGUGUCAGACUUUUGUGAAAUCGACCACAUCUCACCAGAAUCUGAUUUUGGAUAUCGCCUAUAAGUCUGGCUGUCAGUCUGUGCUAGGCUGCUGAAAAUCGGACCAGCUCCUCC
ensembl:lncRNA